rnacentral:rRNA from 1 species
UACGGAGGGUGCAAGCGUUAAUCGGAAUUACUGGGCGUAAAGCGCACGCAGGUGGCUGAGUCAGUCGAUUGUGAAAGCCCUGGGCUUAACCUGGGAACUGCGUCUGAUACUGGAUGGCUUGAGAUUGGGAGAGGGAUGCGGAAUUCCAGGUGUAGCGGUGAAAUGCGUAGAUAUCUGGAGGAACACCGGUGGCGAAGGCGACAUCCUGGACCAACACUGACGCUGAGGAGCGAAAGCCAGGGGAGCAAACGGG